rnacentral:rRNA from 1 species
UACGUAGGGUGCAAGCGUUGUCCGGAAUUAUUGGGCGUAAAGAGCUCGUAGGCGGUUUUGUCGCGUCUGCUGUGAAAACGCGAGGCUCAACCUCGCGCCUGCAGUGGGUACGGGCAGACUAGAGUUGCGGUAGGGGAGAUUGGAAUUCCUGGUGUAGCGGUGGAAUGCGCAGAUAUCAGGAGGAGCACCCGUGGCGAAAGCGGCUCUCUGGGACGGUACUGACGCUGAGACGCGAAAGCGUGGGGAGCAAACAGG